AUCCAGGUGUGUACCGAGCAGUGAGCGAGUCCAGCUGGUCGAGGCUGCAAGCGAUGGAUUCAAAAGCUUGAAAAUUAUGCUGAGGAUACAAAGAAAUAGGAUCGCCGGAUGUCAUCCAACUUGAGCUGGCGAAUUUUGGAGAUGUCAAUGCUGGCGGAGAAAUCAAUAGUGGAAAGCUGCAAGACAUGUCUUGAGAUAAGCCUUCAGCGAGCAUUGCUUCCUGUUCAAUGUUGAUCCACACAAACAUCAACCAGGAUAACACUGGCGGGAAAAAAGCCUCUGACCUGGUACCACCAUGUUUGCCAUCUUACCCCGUGCUAAGCAGCAAGUAGGUGGCUGUGAGAGAGAGGAAUAUGCUGAGAAGCCGGUGAAAGAGGCGAGUGGAGCUCAUCAGUGGAACAAGUAUGGAAGAUGCUAAAGAAG